GUUGGGGCCCCUCUAGCGUCAAUAUAUGCAUUACACCUUUGUCGUAUGGUUAAUAUGCCCACCCUAAUUCAACCAGCGUUCAUGAUGGUUAGUGACUUUGCUGAAUAUGUCUUCCAAGGAUAUCCCACACGGGUUCUAUGGGCGAAAGGUCAGGGGACAUUGCUGGCCAAGCCAAGGUGUGGAUUUGAUGCCUCUGUAGAUGAUCUGUGCACAGUGAGCUCUGGCACUGUCAUCCUGAAACACAAAUCCUGUGCCAUGACGAUGAGCAAAUGGUAGAACAUGACGAUUGAUGGGGAUCUCUGAAGUACAGACCUGUGACUCUCCCUUGACAUGACAUGGUGAUGUCACCCUCGCAUUAUUGACCGACUUCCAUACCGAUCAUGAGGUACCACAGCAGUCUCUUGGAAUCGUUUACCUAACCUGCGACAAACCCUUACACGACCGUCACUGAAGUCCAGAUUAAACCUGGAUUUGUUACUAAACAUGACAUUUGACCAACGAGCAUUUGUCCAUCGCAGAUGACACCGACACCAUUCAUUCCAGCAGAGUUUGGCGAUAUCUUGCAGUUAAAGGUAAAAUAAUGUUUGGUCUAAGGGCGCGUAACAAAGUAGCAUGCUGAGGGUUACGAACAUUUGGUGUGCAGAGUUGGAUCUCUGUUUGCCUGUUGGAGUUGCUGUAAUAAUUGAAUUGCGUUGAUUUGAUGAUUACGGAGGAUUACGAAGUGCUAAACUUCUGUUAAUCACCGAUCUGUCUUUUUAGACUAUUAAAAUUAUUAUUGUUUAUAUGACUGCUUAACUAAAUAUAACUAACUACGGUAUGUAUAUUUUUUGUAUAGUUCAAAGCGCUUAUUGGACAGCAAGGACAAAGUACUGAUAAACGGGCACAGAUCGCCACCUACCUGUUACAACACGGCGCCGAUAAAGGAGCCAAGAACCAUAGAGGGUUAACUCCUGUUGAGAUAUGCACCGAAGAGAAGCUGAAGAGGGUGGUGCAAAAUUUCACACAAAUAAAUUCACCACCGAGCAGUUCCGCUGCUGGGAAUGCUACAGCUUCAGGUUUUGUUGAAGACGUCUUGUGUUCCAGUUGUUUGAGACAGAGAGCCAAUGUCAUCAUUCUGCCCUGCUCUCACAAGACCUUAUGCAAGUCUUGCUGUCAAAACGUUAGACGAUGCCCUCUGUGUGGAAAAGACGCCAAUAGAAAAAUUGGAGAAGAUGGCAACAAGAUUGGCAAUGAGUGUGCCAUUCAGUAAAAGGAAUCGCCUGAUACUUUACUCGACUACUAUGUGGCAUACGUCAUAGACUGUGAUUGAAGAAUCUUACAAUCAAGGAACAUAUUUAUGGGGUUUUUUGCAUACAAUUUAUAUAUAUACACAUUGCAGAAAAACUAAAUCUAGCAGACCGCAUAGAUACAACAGCAAAAAGUGAAGCAUUUAUUACGUUAAAAGACCACAAACCAAACUUCUCCAAUAAACCCACCUGUAGACUAAUAAACCCAUCUAAACCGGAAAUUGGCAUAAUAAGCAAAAAAAAAACUAGGGAGAGAAUCAACAGAAAGAUUCUGAACACAACCAGAACAAACCAGUGGAGGAACACGUCAGACGUGAUUAAGUGGUUUAAAGCAAUAUCCAAUAAAUCCAACUAUUCUUUCAUAUGUUUCGAUAUAUGUGAUUUUUAUCCGUCCAUAACAGAAAAUCUCGUGAAACAAGCCCUACAGUUCGCAUCCAAAUUCGACGAUAUUUCUAGCGAUGAGAUGGAAAUAAUAUUACAAGCAAGAAAUUCACUGCUAUUUAACAACAGCAAGGCAUAGUGCAAAAGAGGCAAACAAUCACGGUUUGAUGUAACUAUGGGUAGUUACGAUGGAGCAGAAAUUUGCGAAAUAGUCGGGCUCUUUCUUCUUUCAGAACUACAAGCCAAAUACGGCAACAAUAUAGGACUAUAUCGCGACGAUGGCCUAGCUGCAUUCAAAGAGUCACCGAGAACCAUAGAGAUAAUCAAAAAAGAUAUUUGCAGAAUAUUUGCAAACCAUAAACUCAAGAUCACCAUAGUCGCCAACAAAAAAUCUGUAGAUUACUUAGACGUAACUCUAGAUCUUGAAAAGAGCUCAGUCAAACCCU
rnacentral:lncRNA from 1 species